ACCACCUCCAGUGGGCAGAGGGAAGACCCCAAUUUUCCCAAAUAGCAGACUUAUGACCAACUCAGCAACCACAUAAAGGUAUAUGAGGGCAAUUUCUAUUCAACAAAUAUUUAUUGGCACCCAUAGGGCACCAACACAAUGGAACAGAAAUUAAAAAGACAAGGCAGUGUUAUCCUUAAAACACUUUCAAUCUUUCCGUUUCUUUGGGGACAAAAACAAUGACCUCACAUCCAGUGAGCUUGUUGUGCCAGCGUCUGACCAGAUGAAAGUUUGUUCUAAGUGACAGAAAACUACUGGAGGAUGUGCUCCACCAAGACACGAGAGUAAACCAAGAAAGGAGAAAGGCAUUGGACCCAGAAAGGAACACAAGUUGAUGUCAAUUUUGCUUCAGAUACCCCUACCUGCUCUGCUGACAGGUCAAAAAUCAAGAAAAGACCAUGCUUCCUGACAGACCCUUUGGGAACCAAGGCAAUGGUCUCCCCACCUGACUAAAGGUUAGCCAGCAUCAGGGAGCAGGAUCCCCCAGGGCCAGUCAUUCAAUAAAGAUUUAAAUACCCCCUGUGAGCAGGUUCCACAGGCAAUGCAGGGAAAGAGCUCUCAGGAAGCAUAGGUGGAGGCAGGGACUCAAAUUUCAGAUAAGAUACUGCAGAGUAGAUUCAGCAACUUAAUGCAAUACACCUGCAACUUCUCUCAGCAUGCUGAGAGUGAGCCCCAAGUCUGAAGGUGUCCCUUGCAUACAUGAAUUAACUAGUCCUGUGCAUGUAGGAAGGCAGCGGGAAGGUUGAGAAAUGGUUCCUUUCUUUUCCAUGGUUUUGAUGAAAGGCGGGGGUGUUGUGAAGGGAAAGCUCUAUCUGAAUGGUGAGGGAAUGCCUCUCAGAAGUGGCACCAAGCCAGAACAGUGAGAGCUGUGCCAGGAUCCAGGGCAAAGAGGGAGAGAGAAGGGAAGAAAGUUCCAGGCAGGGAGAACAUGUCCCAAGGCAGAACAAUCUUGGCUGCCUCAAGAGGCAGCAAGAACAGGAGGCCAAGAUGGGGUCAGAGCGCUGCUGCCAGAGAAACGGCUCCCAAACACCAUGGCCCAGAAGGUAGAUCUGGACUUGCAAGACCCGGAAGAACUCAGCUCAAAGACCUUCUCCUACAGGGAAAGACCAGGGGCUUUUGGUCUUAGCUCAUAAACAGAAGUUGCUUCCAGACUUCAUCCCAGGAAGAUGCCCCUUGUUGGGAGCAUGAGGCACACUGUGUUAAGCAGGGCCUCUUUUUCUCACCAAACUCGCUUGCCAGGAAGCCCUGGCCACACUACACAUCGGCUUGAAGAGCCACGCGCUGGACCUGCACCCUCAGUCUCCAUCGAGCACCACGAUCUGUUUCCAAUAAGGCAGUCCAGCCCUGGAGGCAGGCACAGUCUCACACAAGCCCUUGCCACUUCUUUGAAUCAGACUUUGCAAAAACAACCUUGCUCUCCAGCCAACAUAAACCAUAGGCAACAGAGGGCCUUAUAUGGCUCAAAGCUUUCUUAAUCAGAAAGAUAGACAGGCUGGAGUUGGCAGCUGCACAUUAGAGGAGAGAGAGAGACAGGGAGAAAAGAAUGGAUAGCGUGGGGGACAUACAAACUUGUUUGUCAAACUCCUCUCUUCAUCCCUCUUCUGCCUCCCUCACUUCCCAGCAAAGAACUCCUACUGGAGGCCAAGGCUUGCAGCCUGUUGUUUACAUUUUGGUUUAAGCCAGACUGCUGGGUGAUCCACA